rnacentral:rRNA from 1 species
CAGUAGCCGCGGGAAUACGUAGGUGGCAAGCGUUGUCCGGAAUUAUUGGGCGUAAAGGGCUCGCAGGCGGUUUCUUAAGUCUGAUGUGAAAGCCCCCGGCUCAACCGGGGAGGGUCAUUGGAAACUGGGAAACUUGAGUGCAGAAGAGGAGAGUGGAAUUCCACGUGUAGCGGUGAAAUGCGUAGAGAUGUGGAGGAACACCAGUGGCGAAGGCGACUCUCUGGUCUGUAACUGACGCUGAGGCGCGAAAGCGUGGGGAGCAAACCGGAUUAGAUACCCGAGUAGUCCCUGUCUCUUAUAC